rnacentral:misc_RNA from 1 species
GGAAGUAAAAGUCGUAGCAAGGUUUCCGUAGGUGAACCUGCGGAAGGAUCAUUAAUGUGUUUGGGCCUCACGGCUCUUCAUUCCGACGCUGUGCGCCUUCGGGCUGCACGCUGAGGGAGCAUAUAUCCACCCCUGUGCACACACACGGUGGCGAGCUGGGUAACGGCUCGCCGCUGAUCUUUACACACGUCUAAAAGUCAUUGUAUGUUUAUUUGAGAUAAAAACACAACUUUCAGCAACGGAUCUCUUGGCUCUC